CCUCAAGCUACAUCCCAUUAUUAUUUAGUAUAAGCACAUGGAUGACCUCGUUAGCAUAAACAAGUGUUGUUCUACCAGCUUUCAUCAAUAAUCUAUCCUAUGCUGACGCCCAUGGUGACACCUUUUCCAGCUGAACCUUGAUGGUUUGAUUAGGCUCAGGGAAUCAUACAGCUCAGCUUCGAGAUGUUCGUUGCCGCCCAUGGGAAAAGUCCGAGUGCUCCUGACUGUAGCAGUGGAUAAGGAAGUGCUUGUGAACAAGCAAACAAUUAUAAUGGGAGAGCAAAAAGGGUCUCCACGCAGUGGCUACUGAAACCUGAAAGGAAUUCAUUAUUGGAGCCAACAACGUGUAGGUAAAAAAGAUAAAGAGGGAAGAAGCCGGAAAAGGGGAAAAGAAAUCAAGAAGAGGACGAUCUAUGUACGUCAACUACAAAGGAAGGAAGAUCCGCCAAUCGUACGCCGCACGGCUGCUCUUCUCGAUCGGAUCGACGGCGGGGGUGACCGUCACCCGGUGGUCCCCAGCCACGACGCCGGCACCAGCCCCCGGCGGAGCACCACCGAAUACUCCGGCAGUUCUCCGAGCCCGGCGAACAGCGAGUCCUCCUCGCCCCCCCCGCCUCCCCCCGCGGCCUGCUCCUCCAGUUCCUCGGGCAGCGCGGCCGCGGCCCCGGCGAAGAUGACCGACCCGUAGAGCAGCUCGUGGGAGUUAUCGACGGAGGGGGAGGCCGAGGGCGUGAAGCAGACGUCGGCAAACCACGGGAAGCCGCCACGCGCGUCGACCGUGAGCGCCGACUCCUCCUCUGCGAUCGGAUCGGAGAAUUUCUCGUCGCGCUCCGCGGAGUCCGGCGUGCCGGAUUGGCCCAGCUGCUCCUCGGGUCGUGCCGCGGCGUGCUUGUGGUGGUGGUUCCUGGGGACCGGCCAGGUGUGGUUGUGCUCGAAGGAGUAGGUAACCACGAUCACGGCUGGGUCGACGCGGCUCCGCUCCACCUGCUUCCUCGCCGGGCACCCCUUGGAGCUGCUGCACCUGUAGUAACCCCUGCACGUCCCAUCAAAAUCACCAGAUCGGUUUCAUCUUCUUCUCCAUCUCCCUUGUGCUUCUUUCUAGUGCCAUAUAGCUGUAAAAUAAAAAAAUAAAAAAUACGUACAAACCUGGGAUAAGGUGAACCUUUAAUAGGCUUCUGGCCGUACUUCCUCCAGGUCCACGAAUCCGGUGGCGGAGCCCCCUCGCCGCCGCCCUUCGCCUCGCUGAUCGGCAUCGUCACCACCCGCUUCUGCACCGCCCGCCGGCUGUUCAUCCACGAUCCCAGUUUAAUGCCAGUAAAUCAAGAACACUAAGAAGGGCACGGAACAAGAAUCGAAUAGCUGUCGAAGGAGAAGAAGGAUCCACCAUCUCUUGGGACAUGGAGCCGAAGACCGGACGGGCUGCGAGUCGUCGGUCGAUCCAGCUGACACCGGCCUCCCAUCGUUGGCCUCGGAUGCGUCCCCGACCUCGUCCGCCUCGGAUGCGCCGGGCUCGUUGCUGCAGCUCCCGGUCAUUACGAUCCACGAAGAAGCAAAAUAAUUAAAGCUGUACCAACUAUAUGCUCCGCAGCUGAUCCUCCAAGGCAAGCACUCAAUCACUCACUUUGCUCGAACCGGACAAGAGAGCUUUGCACCAACAUGGCACAAAAGAGCUUUCUUGGGGAAUGGAUAGAGGAAGAAGAGAAACGGGGAGAGGUGAAGGGUGUUGGGUGGAGGAGCAGAUGGGGACAGGAUGCAGUUCUAGUAGUCAUCGCAGGCGCACAUCCAAGCUAUUAAAAAAGCACAUAAUGGCCGGGUCGCCUGGGCUAGACUUUGUCUACGAGUUGCUCGCCAUGACUGCACGGGGAGAGGAAGAGGAUGAAGCGAUGUGGGGGCACAUAACUCCACCUAAACUACUGCAAGAGGCCCGUCCCCACCAUCAUGCCAAUAUAUUAGUGGUAGCAGCCCCAGCCAUGCCCUUCUAUUAUUGAAGCGAUGAGAUCCGGAACAUGAGGGAGGCGAGCUUCACGAUGGCAACUUGCUUUUGCUAAUCAUCUUCUCUUUUCACAGCUAUUUCGUCUUGAGGAUAAGUUCCCCAUCUGCUAUUGGUGAGUCGGGAUGCCGUGGGACCCGGUGAAUCCAUCGCCCUCGAGUCACCUUCAUCUAGAAAGCCUGGAGUCUGGACCCUGUCUGAGCUCACACAGGUACGCAAAUCUUCCUUGCCAUUUGCCUUGGUGCAUAAGAAACUUGGCCUUUUUUUUCUUUCUUCUUCACGUCAGCGAUGGGUUUAAUUAUAAAUCAAGCGGCUCAUUCCCGCUCCCGGCCGUAUUAUUAUUAUUAUUAUUAUUAUUAUUAUUAUUAUUAUUAUUAUUAUUAUUAUUAUUAUUAUUAUUAUUAUUAUGCCAACGUGGCCAGCGCUGUAUCUAUUUGACAAAAGCGACAUUUGGUAUUGUCAAGCGGAAAGUCAACGCAACCGCCGGUGCUAAAGAGCCACUUAGAUUCUAUUCAAUGAGUGGGAAGAAUCAGAUCGAUGGCUGAUGGAAGGCACCGUAUGACCUCAAUCUCUCUGAUCGGUCGUCAAGUCUAAUCGUAUCACUUCCACUUUUUGAGGUGGUUUCCGCCAAUACCUUGGAAAGUAAAUCCUACCCAAACAUGGCUUUAAUCGUACACGCAUAUCCUAAUUCCCACUUCAUUGGGCCGACACGAGAUGAGGAGCAUCCCACACGCGCGAUAGCAAUCUCUACCAAAUGGCCGCCUCGUCGCGUUAAACACGUUUCGUCGUCGUCAUGCUUCUACUUUUCCGAGAAGGAAAAGGGCAAAUACUGGAGACCCCACAAGUCUAUUCUACGUCGAUCCAAUGUUCUUCUCGUUAAUAUUUUCCUCAAUUGGUCGCUCUCUACCGUUCCGAUGUCGACACCCAUAGAUUGACUUGCUCGAGAUUUCUCAUGCACGCAUGGAUUGACUAAAACCCAUCGGAUGGGUUAGAAAACAUGUUGUUACAAGUCAUUCAAAGUAUGCAACGCCGGAAAAUAACUAUACACGUUUCCAAGUUGCUCAACUUGUGCUACGCAUGAAAUAAAAGGAACGAAUUAUUAUUUUAAUUUUGUCAUUAUAUCUCAUCUACGCGAGUAUUUCUAUCCAUACAUUAUAACAGUUAACAUUCGAUACAUAUGUCGGUCGUUAUUUUUCCUUGUUAUAUUCAAAUAAUGCGAUGGCUACAGAGCAGAGCGUAGGACCGACCUUUCGGAGUCCAAAAAACAUCUACUCCGAACUCUACCCGAAUAACUUCCUGUUACUUGUGGCUCACACGUAACCUACUGCGGGGGCCACAUGGGAUCAUAAGGUUUUGGGGAGAGAUUCUGAGUACACGAAACAUAAUGCGACCUUUACUUUGUGGUUGGAGUCACGUGGCAAUUGAACCGUUGUGGCUUCGAAGAAGAAGCAGUCGCUCGAUUCAAACCGCGGGUGGCCUCCGCCUCCCUCCUCGGGUCCUUCAUCUCCUCGUCGUUGCCGCAGCUUCCUGUGGAGACUCCACCAUGGUCGAGGGUGACGAGGCGGUCUUCCACACCUGGGACUCUCUUUGGUUCUUCGCCAACAUGCUUUCGCCUCCCUCUCCCGUUCCCAAGAGCGCAGAUAUAUCUUACCCAUGUGUGCAGCAAGAGAAAGACUGUACUCCCGCAGCAGAUAAAUGCCAAGAAUCAGAAGCAGGAACUACCGGACAAGCAGGGACCAGCGAAGCAGGAGCCUACAACACCACGGAACACAGGAGGAAGCAGGGGAAGAAGAGAAGAAAUCAGAGAUUUUGCUGCAAGGAGAAGGAGCAGGUCAAGGAUUUGGAAGAGCUGGAAGUGUGGUUGCGUGGACUGAGGUCGAAUGGUGGAGUGCUUACGGCGAGCCGGAGCUGCGGUGGAUUCGCGCACUGUGAUGGGAAUGUCAGGCUUCGUCGUUGCGGUAUGCCUCCUCUUGCUGAUGGCCUGGCCAUGAAGCAGCACCUCAAGUCAUGGGCUCAUGCGGUUGCCUGCGCUGUUAGAUAACUCAUUAAGACGCAGUUCCUCCUUUGAUCGAUUGUAGCAGAAUUCCUCUUCUUCUUCUUCUUCUUCGUUGCCUGCUGCUAACUUUCUCAUUGUUGUUUGUGGCCUUCGUUGGCUUCGCUGUGCUUUGAUAAUGGUGCUGCGUCUCUCUAUUGACAUC